rnacentral:misc_RNA from 1 species
GAUGAAGAACCGCAGCGAAAUGCGAUAAGUAAUGUGAAUUGCAGAAUUCAGUGAAUCAUCGAAUCUUUGAACGCACAUUGCGCCCCCUGGUAUUCCGGGGGGCAUGCCUGUUCGAGCGUCAUUUCACCACUCAAGCCUCGCUUGGUAUUGGGCAACGCGGUCCGCCGCGUGCCUCAAAUCGACCGGCUGGGUCUUCUGUCCCCUAAGCGUUGUGGAAACUAUUCGCUAAAGGGUGUUCGGGAGGCUACGCCGUAAAACAACCCCAUUUCUAAGGUUGACCUCGGAUCAGGUAGGGAUACCCGCUGAACUUAAGCAUAUCAAUAAGCGGAGGA